UACGUAGGGGGCAAGCGUUGUCCGGAAUCAUUGGGCGUAAAGAGCGUGUAGGCGGCUCGGUAAGUCCGCUGUAAAAGUCCAGGGCUCAACCCUGGAAAGCCGGUGGAAACUGUCGAGCUAGAGUCCGGAAGAGGCGAGUGGAAUUCCUGGUGUAGCGGUGGAAUGCGCAGAUAUCAGGAGGAACACCAAUAGCGAAGGCAGCUCGCUGGGACGUUACUGACACUAAGGCGCGAAAGCGUGGGGAGCGAACAGG
rnacentral:rRNA from 1 species